ACGCUCGACACCUACGGGAUGCAGCAGUAGGGAAUCUUCCACAAUGGACGCAAGUCUGAUGGAGCAACGCCGCGUGAGUGAAGAAGGUUUUCGGAUCGUAAAGCUCUGUUGUUGGUGAAGAAGGAUAGAGGUAGUAACUGGCCUUUAUUUGACGGUAAUCAACCAGAAAGUCACGGCUAACUACGUGCUAGCAGCCGCGGUAAUCUGAGCGGGCUGGCAAGGC
rnacentral:rRNA from 1 species